GUGCCAGCCGCCGCGGUAAUACGGGGGGAGCAAGCGUUGUUCGGAUUUACUGGGCGUAAAGGGCGCGUAGGCGGCCUCUGCAAGUCGACUGUGAAAUCUCCGGGCUUAACCCGGAAAGGUCAGCCGAUACUGCAGGGCUAGAGUGCAGAAGGGGCAACUGGAAUUCUCGGUGUAGCGGUGAAAUGCGUAGAUAUCGAGAGGAACACCUGCGGCGAAGGCGGGUUGCUGGGCUGACACUGACGCUGAAGCGCGAAAGCUAGGGGAGCGAACGGGAUUAGAAACCCGUGUAGUCC
rnacentral:rRNA from 1 species